rnacentral:rRNA from 1 species
UACGUAGGGCGCAAGCGUUGUCCGGAUUCACUGGGUGUAAAGGGUGCGCAGGCGGGAGUGCAAGUCAGCGGCGAAAUCUCACGGCUCAACCGUGAAACUGCCGUUGACACUGCAUUUCUUGAGUUAGGGAGAGGUUGAUGGAAUUCCAGGUGUAGCGGUGAAAUGCGUAGAUAUCUGGAAGAACACCGGUGGCGAAGGCGGUCAACUGGCCCUCAACUGACGCUGCGGCACGAAAGCGUGGGGAUCAAACAGG